CUGAACUGAGCUCUGGCGCACUGAGCCUGAGAAGCCGAACUUGAUCCUGAAGGCUGUGGAGCCAUGAAGGGAUUUUCAGUGGAUUUACAAUUCGGAAAUCUCUUGCAGGUUUGCAGGGUGUGUGGGCUGGAAGGAGGACGCUAUUGGGAGGCCUUUAUGUAAUCCAGUGCUGGAUGAUGGGGAAGCGUGCAGACGCAGGAACUAAGUAGCCAGACUCUCCCUGGGUCUGCAGGCCACUUGCGGUCAUGAGGAUGCCGUGGUGGGUGCCUCUCAGAGUGCGUCCAGGGCAGGGCAGCCUGACAUAACCUUCAGGAGCCACGGUGACAAGACUCGGGGACAUGGCAACACAAGGUUUCUUUUCCUGGACCCUAGAGAAUCAAACAUAACGAAGGCUGGUUUCUCGGCAUUGCGGCGAUUGGAGACUUGGGAUCCGAAUUUAUUUGACUUGGAAAAAUAAAACAGGAUGACAUUUA